GGGUCCGGAGCUUGCACUUCGGAGGUUUGGGAUGGUCGGGCCGCCAUUC
rnacentral:ncRNA from 2 species